rnacentral:lncRNA from 1 species
CAUUUCUUGUCCUUUAUAGCUCUGAAACCUAAGGUGGAGGCAAGCAGCAGACACCACUCACUGCCCAGCGGGAAGCAUGAGGAGGUUCCCACCUGUAGCCAGGUCAUUGUGACGCAAAGGAUAUGGACACGUGGAACACCUUGGGGACAGCAGGGGCGGCGUCACCGGGGCCGCAGAUCUGAGCGGGGACACCCCAGGAGACGGAGGUCAAGGAAAGACCCUUGGGAGUGGAGCCCCCGAGGCCUGGCGGUGAAGGGAGGGCAGAUCCGAGCCGGGGACACCCCAGGAAACGAGGGUCAAGGAAACACCCCUGGAAGUGCAGCCUCCGAGGCCCGGCGGGGAAGGGAGGGCGCCCGCUCCCCGCCGGCAGCUGCGCUGCGCUGCGGCGCGCAGGGCUCCUCUGCUGCGAUUCCGGCUGCGGCGGCGGCCGUGCAGGAAGGGCCGGUUCCUGUGCUCCCCCGCCCCUUCCCUCUGCCGCGGACGCUGACGUCGGAUGAGGGACCUGCAGGGACGCUCCGACCGCGGCCCCGAGCCUCCUGGACGCCGGGGCUCCGAGCUCCUGCUUCCUUUAGAAACGGACACAUCCUGUUAUACGUCUGCCUUCCCCGGAGCGGCUGCCCGUUAACCUCUCCCACUGCCUCUGUUUGGAGUACUCCAAAGCCCUUCAACUUCUCUUUGUGGGCGUCAGAGUACCGCGUCCACACUCUGGCGAAAGGCAGAGGCAAGGUUUAGAACAAGAACAGUGUUCUCUGCUUUUAGAUUGCAUGUUUUAAAAAAUCAGCCAAGAAGGGGUGUUGUGCUUGAACCUGAGUGGGAAUCUUAGUAAACAAGAUGUGGGUAACUAUUAAAAUAAUCAGACCCUAAAACGUACAGAUGGCUUGAGAAUGACCGUUAAGGUUUUAAAAAUUAUGACUCAUUGCAAACAUGUUCCUUUCUGUAUAUUUCAGCAGAGCCUGUAGAAAAUUCUCAAACUGGUUUCUGUGUGGCCCUCUGGUUUAGGGUUGAGAUCUAUUUAGCUGGGAAGUGGAGCGGGAAAUGCUAAUUAGUUUGAAAUAAGCACUCCAGACUCAGUUUCUUACCUUCUGCUUAUUUCAUGCACAAAGCUUCUAAAAUGGCUUUUUAAUGAGUUUCCAAACCAGAGAGUUUCUUUUUUAGGUUUCAGUUUGUAUUUUUGAAACAUCUUAUGUAGAGUAUACCAUAGGGAUGAAACUAAUUUGUAAUCCUUAGUAGUUCAAAUAUGUAGACAUAUUUUUUUUAAUUGCAGGAGUUGUUGCUUUCUAAUUGUAUGUUUUGUAUUACAUUGGUAAAUAAUUGUACUGUUAUGAAAGAAGAAUCUUUAGGAAACUUAAUCGUGGAGAGAUUAAACAACUGAACCUGGAUUCUCCCCAAAGGAUCAUGAAUGUAGAGACACUGGCUGGUAAUUGCUUGGGUGGUUUGUUUUGUAGCCGGAAGUACCCCCCUCCCCAUUUGGUGCGCUUGAGUGUGUCUGCUUUCUCUUAGCAUCUUUUUAUUGUGCAGCUCUCUUCACCUCACCCUUAUGAAAAGUACAGAAAAUUUUGUUACUCAAAGAAAACCUUAAAAUUGCUGCAUUUUCAAGGCACUUAACUAAACAGUACGUUUAUUCAGGCAUACACAGUUUCAUCAGGUAGGCAGGUAUGACAGCUAUGACAUGGCAGAGUAGGGAAAACCUGUGUCUGGUGUGAACUCUAAGAUUACAGAAGCCUCAUAAAGGAGAGGGCAUACAACUUGAGAGGCCAUGGGAUAGAGAAGAUGUUUUCCUCUUUACUGGUUGAGACUGACAGCUAGAAACCUGAAGGUAGGUACCAGCACUGAUGAUCAGCUCACUGGUCACUAGUGUUCUUAAUUCUGUCUACAUUAUCAGCUUUAGAGGACCUAUGGUCAAAGAUCCUAUCAGCAUGUUUUAGUAGCAACCUUAUCCCCCCCCCCCACACCCAUCUAGAAUCCGUCUCAACCCUAAACUUAGUGAUAAAGGGGAAACAUUUUCCUCUUAUUUUUCAUAUUUCAUUCCACAAUUGCACCUAGCACCAUGAGGACUACAGGGAACACCACUGGAACAGGAUAAGAAGCCCAGCCACAACACCUGUCUAGCCAUGUGACUUUCAACAGGUUACCUAAGCUCUUUAGUCACUUAACUCACUAUUUCUUUGUCUCUGGAAUGGGAAUAUCCACUUUGUGCAGUUAGGGUGGGGAUUAGAGAUAACAUACAAAAUGUUUUGUACAGUGUCAGGUUAAAACAGUAGCAACAAAUUAUUCUUUCACAUGUGAAAUAUGGGUGUGCUAUCUGUAUCUGAAGAGGAUGCUGUGCUUUACCUAUGAUAGGAAAUGUGUUCCAGUUUGGUCUUGAGUGGUCCAGGUGGGUUUGCACCCAUACUUAGAGCCUGGGCUUUAUAGAAAAUACCAUCUGAAGUUGAGGGAUAUGAUCUCUGAUCCAGCAACAAAACACAGCUUAUUUGUUCCAGUGGGAAUAGAUCUUCCAAGCCUCUGCCACUCAGAUGUUGUCCAUAAACCAGCACCGAGUUUCCCCUGGGUGCUUGUGAGAAAUGCAGACUCUUGGCCUGAUUGCUGCUGCCCUGAAUUUUAACAAGACACCAUGUGUGCCUUACAGUUUGAGAAUCAUUGCUGUUAAUUGGUAUUUCUGAAAAGUUGGUGUCUCAUAGAAUCAUUUGGGGGCUUGUUAAAUCUGAAUUCCCAGCUUGGCUGUCCCCAUCUGCCAUUGACAGUUUAGGUAGUUCUGAUGCUCAGGGUUUUCCUCUACUAUUUGACAAACAUUGCCUUAGUACACAGCCCUGCAAUGGGCAUCUAACUUCUUCCUUAACAAAGCAUUGGGCAAAUAUGAUCAACCCCCUUUGAGGUAAAUAAAUAUUAUAAUAUCCAUCUAUCUGACAAGAAAAGUAAGAUUACAAACAAUAUUACAACAUGGAUAAUGCCCAUGGUAGAACUGCAUUGGAACCUCUGUACCUCCUAGUUGACCAUGCUUUCUCUACUCCCACAUUGAAGUUAACAUAGGUUUGUUCUUAGGUUUGUUUGAAGUCCAUAUGUAACUUUCACAAAUACCAGUGAGUCUGACCAGGGCAAGGAGGACUAUACAUGAUAGAGCAUUUUCUGCAUGCUUUUACAGAUGAGCCUUCCUUCAGUGUGACUGUAAGCCAGUUACUUAGGAUUACUGAUUUUAAGCUUCAUGGUAGAAUAGAUAGGAUGUCACCCUGGGGAUGUGUUGAGGGUAGAGUGAUGUAAGUGAAGCAUAGGCCUCAGUGUCUGAGAAGUGGGAGUUCUUCAGUUAAUGGUAACUGCUUGUUCCAGUGUAAACCUAAUGGGAGAGAAUGAGGUUAGAAGUUGCUGGGAAAAUGAUGCACUGUAUUGCUCAUGAAGAGAAUUGCCACUCUCUCCUGCUAAGUCAGAUGACAUCAUUCAGGAGUAAAUUUGACCAAAUUAGAAAUGCAGGUUACUUUAUUCAGCAUUCAACAUGUAUUUAUAUAUUUACCUUGUGCCAUGCACUGUGGUAAGUAGUUGGAAUCCUAAAACAAGACCCACACCCUACCCUGCUCUGGAAGAGCUUACAGCUUAGGAAAGGAGAAAAACAUCAGUUUAACCUUUCACCUUAACCUUUCAGCAAAAGCAUUGUGGUAGUAAAGAGGGACAGAGGUGAGUGGGGGGUAUGAAUCUCAUGGCUGGGGCUCCUCACCCGUGCCAGAGAGGGGGCCAAGAAAACUGAUAAUGAUCAUGAAAGAGAUAGCUGUUAAGUUGAGCCUUGAAGGACCAAUAAGAAUUAGGCAGGUGGGUAAUGAUUGGUAGUGGGGAGAGGGUCCUACCAGAGAAUCCAGAGUAUAAAUGUGCAGAAGUAAGAAGAGAACACAGGCAAACAGUUCUUAUGUCUGGACCCUGAUGUACAUCUAUGUCCUGUAUAAACUGUGUAGCCUCCAGCAAGUUUGAUCAUCUGCGAGUUGGAAGAAUUAAGUGCAUUGAUUGGUGUAAACACGGGACUGAUUCCGAUUAUGUGACAGCUGGCUGUGGAAGUGGUGGUGGUAUCGGUGGGAAAUAGGAGACUGAUAUUAACAGGGCGUUAGAAAACAUCGCAGGGAUCAAUGUUAGGGUAUCUUUAGCAGAAAAUUCAUAAAAUAAAAAGAGAGUGACUAAACAA